GAAAAUGGCUGAUAAAUGUCACAUCUAUCUGCUGGGACUGAUAAUUCUCUGCUCACCUCUCACAGAAUAAACACACACAUGCACUGUGUGUCAGGUACCAGUGAAGUGGAAGACAUCCAUGUGUUCUUCACUGAUGGUGAAAAUGUCACUCUGCCAUGUAAUAAUGCUCGUUCUGACUGCACAUCAACUACAUGGAACUAUUAUGGAGAAGGAUAUUCAGAGCCUGAGGUACUGAUUUCUGAAGGAAUAAAGAAGAAUGACACAGAGAGACAUGAGAGACUGAAUCUGGGGUCUGACUGUUCUCUGAACAUCUAUAAAACCACAAAAGAAGAUUAUGGACUUUACAACUGCUGGAAAAAUGUGAAUGGAGAGAGAUCAUAUACUGAAAAUGUUUUUCUGCAUUUUCUUCAUGUCUCUCCACCAUCUACACAGACUGAGAUCAGACCAGGCAGCUCUGUGACUCUCUCCUGUCAAUUAUAUUCAUUUGAUAGACAUACUUUGUGUAUUAGGGGAUUUAAACUGGUCUGGGUGAAUGAAUCUGAUGUUAAUCUGCAAACAGACUCCAGAUAUCAGAUAUCAUCCUCUCCAGAACACUGUAACAUCACUCUGACUACAACACUCCUGAAUGAAGACAACAACAGAGAGUGGAGAUGUCAGAUUACUGAAGGAACUGACGUGAAGACCUCAGUCAGCUAUACUGUCAAGUAUUUGGACACCUCAGAUAGAUGGUUAUACAAAGUGAUUCCUGCUGUAACUGUUGCUGUAGUUGCUCUUCUUACUCUUGUUAUUCUCUGGCUGAUCUGUAAAAGAAGAGCUGACAAAAAUAAAAAGGCUCAGGAUCCACAAGGGUCAGAUAAGAGGUCAGAUGCUUCAGUCUGUGAGACCAUCAACAGUUUCAUCCCUCCUGCGGUUGAUGUUCAUGAGAAGACAGAUGAUGUGUCUUAUGCUGAGGUCAUCACUUACAGAAAAUCACCUAAUGAAAGUCAAAAUGUUCAUUCUGAUGAUAAAGUGACGUACGCUGCCAUCAGAGGAGCAAAAUGAGUCCAGGAAAACUGCAGUGCAACUAAUGCAUCUGUGAUCAAGAAUCCACCCAAAUAAAUACCAAAGACCAACAGAUAUCAAAUAAGCAGAAAAUUGAAUUAUUGCACGGUGGAGUAAGAAGAUGACAAUUUAUAAGUGUUUAUUACCAUCUUUCCCUAUCUGUCACUCACUCGAUGUUGUGUCGAUGUAGUGACACUAUGGGUCACUCUUGGGAGCCCGAGACACCUCUGGUCUUUGAUAAAAGGCCAAUGAAAAUUGGUGAGUGGUAUUUGCAUGCCACUCCCCCGGACAUACGGGUAUAAAAGGAGCUGGUAUGCAACCAGUCAUUCAGAUAUUCUCUUCAGAGCCAAACGGUCAUGCUCACAGAGCUGAAUUCCCACAACUGUUCAUUCACCUUUGCUGGAUCUGACGGCGCAUUUCAGCGGCUUCUCCCUCCUCUGCACUGGUGCACUGCAGAGAACGCCCCUGGGCGCUUCGGCAGAAAUAAGAGUAUAUUUCUCUAAAAGAGCGGCACACACGAAACGUCUUUUUAAAGAUGUGUCUUUUUAAAGAUGCCUUUCCUUUGUGUGUUAUUCCUGGUUGCGCACGUUAUCUCUCGCCUUCUGACGGUCACGAUCACUAUCCUUCGUGUCUGGGCUCUGCUCACGUAGAGACAGCGUUCGUGGAUGGGUCAUGUACUCAUUGCGAGGACAUGUCCAUGGCAACGAUGCGGUCGCGUCUUAACUUCGUAAGAAAGCAAGCCACCCCAGAGGCUCCCCGCCUUGGUCCUUUUACCCACGGGUAUGAGGCCAGCGCGGCUAGCACUGGGGGCAAUUUGGGUACCCCAAUGGGACCGCCUCCGCCGGGUAUCCCCCGGAUCUCUCAUUGCCCAGCACGCUCGUCUGCCCCGAUCGGGCUUCCGGAUGAGUCCGCUGGCUCGUCUCACGGUGAGUUCGACCUCUUAUUCGGAGCCAGUGAAAGUGAUGAGCUCUCGAGCGCAGCAUCGGAGAGCGGGCUCAUCCACUCGGACACGGAAGUCUCAGCUGGGCUCCUCACUUCGGGGACGAUUGUCCAGUCAAAGGCUGAAGCGGAGAUGACGAUAUGCUUUCCCGGGCAGCCGCGAGUGUUGGAGCGGAACCCUCAUUAUAUAUUUCAUAUAUUUUUUUUUCCACUUUUUUGUUGCUUGCUUUAAAAUAUUGUUUUGAAAUAUUUGAAAGCAUAAUAUUUUGAUAUGCUGUUAUAUCCAUGUUAUGCUGAAUAACAUAAAUCUAUGUCUGGCAGUUUUCAUGUAAAUACUAUUCCUUCUUAAACUAAUAUCAGUGUUAAAUAAAACAAAAAAACUUUCCUUUAAGAUUCAAUAUUUAACCCCUGGAUUUCUCAAUGGGCCGUGCUAUCUCUGUAAAAGACAUAUUACAUAAAGAGGAUUUAAAAAACAUUUAAAAGCAUUUUUUUUUUCUUCUUCACAUUUUAGCAGUGUGGCUGUUGAGAAAUGGUCAGUGUGGGCAAAAAGUACACUGUAAAAAAUGGUAACCUCCAAGUAAUACUUAAGGAGCAAUUUCUAACCGAUUUAACCCUUAAAAUUAGUUUGUUAGGAAAACCUAUGUAUAGGUAUACCUAUGUAUACAGCUUGAUUUAGUGAUGUUAAAUAAUAUUUUUGACUUAAAACCAGUUAAUUUACAUGUUACCACAUAAAGCACAUUUAAGAUGAAUUUUCAGAUUUCUUUAUUUUUUGUAUGUGGAAGGAAUUGUCAGGAUUGUUCUCCGGAUUUGACUGAGCUCUUGUUCAUUUGGAUUAUCGCCCAUGGAGCAUUCUGAUUUUAUUGGACUCUGUGCUCCACUGCCGACAGUCACCAUACACUGAAGUUUUGUUCAGUUCUAUUGUUUUUUCCCUGUAUCUCUGUUCAGUUAAUAAAGACUUUGUUUUUUCACUCACCUCUGCUUUUGAGUCUUCUGAUACCUGACAGGAAUCAGCUUAUAUGAAUUUGUAUUUAUUUAUUUCAGAUUGAUAUUAGCUCUAAAUUCAAAGUGUAGUACCUGACAUAAUAUAUGUUCAUUUACAAUUUAAUGCAAGUAAUUUAAUGAAAAUCUAUUAAUUUCUCUAUAUAUUUCCAACCAUUUCCUCAUCCAGUUCACUGUAUCUCACCUCACUGCCCCCCUGACCUGAACAAGUACCAAUCUUAUCUUCCUCCUCCUCUAGACCUGUAAUAGUUGAUGACUCCAGGUUACAUCACUUAUGUGUUCAUUAAAAGUCACUUUUAAAAAAUGCAUCUGCUGAUUAAUUUAAUAUUUAUAAUUGUAUUAUUUAUGCAAUAAUAAAGUUAUUCACUUUAAAACUGUAAAAGAUCCAUCUUCAGUAAGCAGAUGCUUCAAACACAUUUUCUGAGUGAAAAUUAAUUUGAAACUGUUAUAAUUAAGCUGCACAAGGUAGUUUAAUUGACACGGAGGCAUUAGUAUGCAGGAGAACAAACUUUUUAUUAUCACUUGCAGAGGUACAACUGUUAAACUGCACUGCCCCCUGCAAACACAUGCACAUUGUGAUGAAACCCUGUUACACAGGAAUUACCAUAUAUGAACUUAACUUCCUUAGACACACCCACAGCGUAUCAUUAAUAACUGCAUAGCAUCAUCAGUUAUCUACAUCCCCGUUCCUUAGUUCUAUACCUCCCUCUAAUAGAAAACACUUUAAUUUGACAAACAUUUGUAUAACAUCCAAAUGAUGUUAAAACUUAAAGUACUAACUAAUAAUCAAAUUACUUCUUAAAAAAACAUUCUUUACAUCAGAUUUUCCACAAUAUGUAUACUCAACAAUUAUACUUAGGAUUGGGCUUGGAAAUCCGGCCAUAUCUAGAUAUGGAAGUUUUUGAACAAUUGGUUCAACCACAACGUUCUCUUCGGCAUGCACUGCAUCUUUUGAUACAAUGUUGUUGUCUGGCACAGAUCUGAGAUCUGACAACAAGUCCUCCAGAUCAGUUUGUGCUUGGUGGGGGAUCGGCUCUACUACAGGAAGUAGAUGCUUGUGGUUCCUCUUGUAUUCUCUACCUUCUGACUCCACAACGUAAGAUCUGGGCUCUGUGAGGACAUUCCUUAUUACCCCAAUCUUAUCAUGGCCUUUUGCUAUUUGCAUCUGAACCACUUGAGACUCAUGCAGUGAAGAGAGUGGUUUACUCCUCUUGUCGUAGAACACUUUCUGCAUUUGUCUCUUUUUCCUGAGUUGAGCUUUAACUUUCAGUGUUCUUUGAUCUUGGUUUCAGCAUCUGCUUGCUGAUAGGCAUGUUAGUGCUCGUCACCCUGUACAUCAGUCUUUGUGCAGGUGAACCCAGUACUUUAUCUCAAGGAAUGUUGCGGAUGUUCAACAAAUUCAGAGACAACUCUGUUCCAUCCCUUUUCGUGGUUUCAAUAAGGCACUUUGCACUGCGAACAGCCCUCUCUGCGAGACCAUUCACCUGGGGAUACUCAGGACUGCUGGUAAUAUGACAGAAAUCCCAUGAUCGUGCAAAUUCUUUGAAAUCCUGGCUUGAGAACUGGGUGCCAUUGUCAGAUAUUACAUUCUGGGGAAUUCCAUGCACAGAAAAAUGUCUCUGAGUUUGUUGAUGACAUUUUGCGAUGACAGGGUGCUGAGUUGGUUUAUUUCAAACCACCCGAAAUAGGAAUCUACCAACACUAGGUAUUGCUUUCCAUUCCAGUCAAAUAUAUCCGUAGCGACUACAGACCAGGGCGGUUCUGGAAUCACAUGUAGGUGCAAUGGCUCCUUUUGUUGAUGUGGUUUCAGGGCAUUACAAAUGUUGCAAGAUUGUAUGAAAAUGUCAAUGUCCCGAGUCAUAGUUAUUUUGCAGAGAGCUGUCUUUUGCUGUGUGUUCUUUGAGCUCUUGCAAAUGAUUGAACGAAAUCAGUUGGACAGUCAAUACCUCAAAUUCGUCCUCGUCUUUGUGAAGCUGCGUUGUUACUUUCCUUGGAGCAUGUGACAGUGUGUCAGCCAAAUAAAGUUGCUUUCCUCUUUUGUAGAUUAGAUUCUCUGUAGUCGAGCUGUGAGCAUUGUGUAAGGGCUUAUUUAAAAUUGUAACAAGAGAUUGGUGAUCUGUUUCCAUCAUAAUAGGCUUCCCAUAGAUGUAGUCAUAGAAUUUUUGACAUGCAAAUACUACAGCUAACAACUCCUUUUCAAUUUGGGCUUAUCUCAUCUCAGUUUCUGUGCGGGAGCAUGAAGCAUAGCCGAUAGGCUCUCCAUGUUGUAAGCAUGCUGCUCCUAAACCAUACUGUGAAGCAUCGCACGUUAGUGACAGGUUUGCUUACGUCAAAGUACUUCAGCACAGGUGGGCAUGUGAUAUAUUCUUUUAGCUUAUCGAAUGCUUCUUGCUGUUGCUGUGACCAAUACCAAACUACGUCCCUGUGUAGCAACUGUUGAAGUGGUGCUGAUAACUCACUGAAAUUUGGAAUAAAUUUACCCAAAUAAUUAGCGAUACCCAGAAAGUGUUGCAGGGCAGCUUUGUCAUCUGGCAAUGGCAUUUCUGUGACAGCCUGUAUUUUAGCUGGAUCUGGUUUUAAUCCAUGCUCUGUGAACAGAUGACCUACAUAACUGACCUCUUUUAACCUGAACUUGAAUUUCUGUGGAUUUAGUUUCAGUUUCACCUUCCGUGCUCUGUCCAGGACCUUUCUAAAAUUCUCAUCAUGCUCUUUCUUUCCCUUUCCUCCAACAAUGAUGUCAUCCACGAUAAUGUCACAUGGGAGACCUGCGAAGAUCUGCUCCAUUGCUCGCUGGAACACCACUGAUGCUGAAUUAAUGCCGGAAGGCAUUCGCAAGAAAAGAUACCUGCCGAAAGGCAUUGCAAAAGUAGUGCGCAGGUAUUCGACAAGGGGGCCGGACCACUGGAGUCACUUCCGGGUUUAUUUUCAUUGUGUACAUCAUAGAUGUUCAGAAACACAGGAAGGACUGAUGAUGUUUAAAGGAAGAGUUCAUAUAUUGAAAAGAAGAAGACUGACAGAGACAGAAAAUGGCUGAUAAAUGUCACAUAUAUCUGCUGGGACUGAUAAUUCUCUGCUCACCUCUCACAG